AGUGAACGCUGGCGGUAGGCCUAACUCAUGCAAGUCGAACGGCAGCACAGUAAGAGCUUGCUCUUACGGGUGGCGAGUGGCGGACGGGUGAGGAAUACAUCGGAAUCUACUUUUUCGUGGGGGAUAACGUAGGGAAACUUACGCUAAUACCGCAUACGACCUACGGGUGAAAGCAGGGGAUAUUCGGACCUUGCGCGAUUGAAUGAGCCGAUGUCGGAUUAGCUAGUUGGCGGGGUAAAGGCCCACCAAGGCGACGAUCCGUAGCUGGUCUGAGAGGAUGAUCAGCCACACUGGAACUGGGACACGGUCCAGACUCCUACGGGAGGCAGCAGAGGGGAAUAUUGGACAAUGGGCGCAAGCCUGAUCCAGCCAUACCGCGUGGGUGAAGAAGGCCUUCGGGUUGUAAAGCCCUUUUGUUGGGAAAGAAAAGCAGCAGGUUAAUACCCCGCUGUUCUGACGGUAACCAAAGAAUAAGCACCGGCUAACUUCGUG
rnacentral:rRNA from 1 species